GGGCUGUAGCUCAGUGGUAGAACAUCUGUCUUGCAUGUGGAAGGGCCCGGGUUCAAUCCUUGACAGCAUCU